rnacentral:rRNA from 1 species
CAGUCGCCACGGUAAAACGUAGGGUGCAAGCGUUAAUCGGAAUUACUGGGCGUAAAGCGUGCGCAGGCGGUUUUGUAAGACAGAGGUGAAAUCCCCGGGCUCAACCUGGGAACUGCCUUUGUGACUGCAAGGCUAGAGUACGGCAGAGGGGGAUGGAAUUCCGCGUGUAGCAGUGAAAUGCGUAGAUAUGCGGAGGAACACCGAUGGCGAAGGCAAUCCCCUGGGCCUGUACUGACGCUCAUGCACGAAAGCGUGGGGAGCAAACAGGAUUAGAUACCCCGGUAGUCCCUGUCUCUUAUAC